rnacentral:rRNA from 1 species
UACGUAGGGGGCAAGCGUUGUCCGGAGUUACUGGCGUAAAGCGCAUGCAGGCGGUCUCUUAAGUUUGGAGUGACAGUUGGUGGCUUAACUGCCAAAGUGCUUCGAAAACUGAGAGACUUGAGGGCUUCAGAGGGACACGGAAUUCCGGGUGGAGUGGUGAAAUGCGUAGAGAUCCGGAGGAACACCAAAGGCGAAGGCAGUGUCCUGGGGAGUACCUGACGCUCAGGUGCGAAAGCCAGGGGAGCGAACGGG